GGUCACCAGGUGUGGAAAGAUGGUGGACGCCGGUCCAGAUCGCUCGACGGGUUCUUCCCAGGCGCCCCGCACGAGGAGAGGUACUUCCCUUCCACCCCUAUCUCUCCGUAGAGCCUUGGCAGACAGUCUGUCGACACCACCCGUGGAUUCUUCUUCGUCGGCGGCAUUGCCCACUGGGAGAGGUGCUGGUCGGGUAGGGAAGAAGGGGAAGGGUACAGGGAGAGGUGGUGGCCGCGGAAGAUCCAGGAGGAAUAUUGAGCCAUCCUCGCCACCACCACCAGCUCAUUAACCCGAGCAUAGGACUACUAUGGUCGACCCGUUUGCGGAGGAGGCUAUGGGGACUCCGUUCCAGGAGCCUGUUGUUGACGAGCAUUUGUCCCAUGAGACUCCGGUCCAGGAGCAGGCUCGGGUCGAGGUGCAUUCGGCCCAAGAGCAGCCGGAGGAGACUACGGUUCCGGAGGCUUCACCCGACGUGGAGAGGCCCGGAUGGGAGACCUGGCCGGAUCGUACCUAGUUGCCGGAUUGGACCGAGGGUCCGGGUGGCUCAGGAGGCGGGGAUGGCGGGGAUGAGCUUACGGAUAGUGAGGGCGAUGUGCAAGUGGACAGGGCCACCGUGUACAAGCGUGGUAGUACACGUCUUCCGGUCGCGCCGGCUACCCGCGAGCAGAGGCCGGUGAUUAAACCUGAAGGAGAUAGGUAAGUACAUUUACUCUUUUUUUAGCUUUUGCCUUCAAGUUUGUUCAAAUAUCUAAUGCGUUGACCUUAUCAUCCUGCAGGGGAUGGGUACACCCUCUUGGAGUCCGCAGGCCGAACUCCAUCCUUGGUGUGCUUUGCCGGACUAAUUUCUCGGGGUUUGUCACGUUGCCUGGUGAGGGUCAGGUUCCUACACUAGGAUUUUCCUAGGAGCACUACCAGGCUGCGCAGGCCCCGCCGGAGGAGAUUAUAGAUGGUGUCUUGUGCCACACGAGGGCCGAGA
rnacentral:lncRNA from 1 species